CUCCGAUACUGGCAAAGCCGGAGAAAUCCGGUGACGCAAAGCCACGGGUCCUCGGUCAUCGAAAGAUGGCACGGAUCGCCGGGUUGCCGAA
rnacentral:ncRNA from 1 species